UGGGGAAUUUUGGAUCAAUGGGGGAAACCCGAUGAUCCAGCCAUCCCGCCGUGUGCGAUGAAGGCCUUCGGGUUGUAAAGCACUUUUGGCAGGAAAGAAACGUCGCGGGUUAAUACCCGCCGAACAUGACGGUACCUGCAGAAUAAGCACCGGCUAACUACGUGCCAGCAGCCGCGGUAAUACGUAGGGUGCAAGCGUUAAUCGGAAUUACUGGGCGUAAAGCGUGCGCAGGCGGUUCGGAAAGAAAGAUGUGAAAUCCCAGAGCUUAACUUUGGAACUGCAUUUUUAACUACCGGGCUAGAGUGUGUCAGAGGGAGGUGGAAUUCCGCGUGUAGCAGUGAAAUGCGUAGAUAUGCGGAGGAACACCGAUGGCGAAGGCAGCCUCCUGGGAUAACACUGACGCUCAUGCACGAAAGCGUGGGGAGCAAACAGGAUUAGAUACCCUGGUAGUCCACGCCCUAAACGAUGUCAACUAGCUGUUGGGGCCUUCGGGCCUUGGUAGCGCAGCUAACGCGUGAAGUUGACCGCCUGGGGAGUACGGUCGCAAG
rnacentral:rRNA from 1 species